CCCAGUUUCGCAGCCUGUAUCUGAGUACAAACAUCAGGGAUUCAGACAUUCCAAGCUGAUCUUCUACCUUGCAGGCUUCAAAUCCAUCUUAUCUUAAAAGAAUGCAUCCCCUUUUAUCUACUUUUUUUUAAAAAAAGGUCAAUUUUAAAGGCAGCUGAGGGAGGGGUUGUGUAAUUUGCUGGAAGAAGUUUGUUAAAGGAUUAUAAAUAGGACAAGAUUUAUCCUCUCUCUGAAAUUCAGAAUCCUUGCAAGUACCCUGGCUGAGAACUUAAAGGAAAUCGUCUGAAAGUCGAACAUUUGUCUUCAUCACGGUUUUCCAAACGAAGGGAAAAACUCAGCCAAAACGCAUCAACUUUCAGAGACCAAGAGAAGCUGAUGAACGUGACCCGGAUGUUCCCGUGGACUUGCGCCCAUGGCCGCCUGCACAGCCAGCAGAAAUAGGGGGAGCGGAAGGCCCCACCCCACAGGCCAGAGAAGGGCCCUGGGCCGAGAGAAGACAAGAGCUGCCCAGAAGGUAAGUGUCUUCUCCAACUCCACUGUGUGAGCUGGGCUGUUCUUUUAGGGGCUACUGACUUUGAGAAACAGGAAUGAACUGCAACCCAGGUGUCUAAAAAGACCCCACAUAGCACCUGAGCCGUGUGAAGUGUUAAACACAGCGUAUUUGAAUUUGUCUGCCGCAAUCAUUCUGUUUCUUCAGAGAGCCUGAGAAAACCAGAGACUUUCCUGGAGGUUAUUCUCACCCCUGUGCAGGGAAAGGACGAGGCUGGGGAGGAGUCGAGGGCCCAGAGGUGGCGUGGGCUUUUAUUUCUGCCCUUGGAGCAGCAGUGUAUGAAGCCAUUCCCCGUUUUGGGAUGGUUUGUUUUAACAGUAACACCAAGGCCUUCAAAUAAGAUCCCACCAGUAGAAUAACUGGAAUUAGCAGGUUUAUUUAACCAGGAAUUCCCCCCUCGUCCCACUGCUUCAAGGCAAGCACGCCCACAAGGCUCGCCGUGUCUUCUACUUCUAAAAUGCCAGCGUCAGAGUUUUUCCUCUGUCCAACUCGUAUUGUUCCCUCGGCAGCACUGAAAAUAGCUGGACACCUGCACAGAAAUGAAACUGAUUCCUGGGAAUCCCCAGGCCUCAGCAAUUCUCUUUAAAAAGAGUCUGUUGAGACUCUGACUUGGCUGAGAAUUUGCCCAAUGAUCCCUUCUUCACCCCGGUUGGGGAUAAACGUGGAUAAUAAAUGGAUGCAUAAGGAGCUUUCCAGAUUUUCCCUUCUAGUUGGAUUUAAAUGAGAAAUAAAAAAAACUCUUCUUUGCUCCCUAUUGACAAGAGCAUUCUAUUUUAAAAUUUCCAUGUGCUUUCAAAAUGACAAGACUCAGGCAUAUGACACUGACUUGUCUUCAUCUACACUAUAACAGCCUAAAAGAAUCCAGUGGAUGCAUUUAACACAUCUGUUUGAAAUGGCAGUAAAUGUGGAUUUGGAAUUAAGAAAAAGCAUUUCCAUUUAUCUUUUGCUUUUUAAGAAAUCUUUUUUUCUUUGGUGCUGUUAGGUUAGGUUUGCAGCAAGGUAACUUCACAGUCCCCAGUGCACUCUGUCCGCAGGCCUCUGGGGUUGGCUCUAGAAUGUUCUCAGCCCCUGGGAAACAAAAUAUUAAAGCAUAGACAAGCUGCUGGUGGCCAGACCUGACCUGAGGAAGAAGAGGGAGUUUUGUGAUAUUCUUGGUACUUAUGAAUCUAAGACGUCUUGCAAGGAGCUGUGACGCACAGAGAUUAGUUGCAGGUUGAUGAAUUCACUAGAUGGUUAGGCUUUGUAAAAGCUUUCUCUUUAAUGAACUCCCCCUCCCUGCCCACCCCCCUUUUAUGAAAAGAAACCCAUGACAUAAGAGAGGAGCAAACCCAGUCCAGACUGUUUUUCCUACUCACGGGCUCAACGGGGAAACUGCAUUCUGAAUUGACCGCAGCAACUAGAAAUGUCUAGAGCUUCAGUCCAGGUUGGGAAGGUGCGGGGAGACUGGGACACUGCACAGAAAUUUAGUUUUAAUAGACAGCCGUUUAGGAAUGGGAACACUUGACCUCUCUCAAGAAAUCUCGGGAUGUAAGGCACAAAGAGAGGCGGAGGGAGAUUUAUGUGAAUGAGAUCAGAGGAGAGAAGCUAACAGGAUCCCUCAGGCCUUUUCUAAGCUGUAGAAAACUGCUUGUAUUUGAAGGCAUCCUCCUGAUUAAUAUCCAACAUCUUUGCCGUAAGCGUUCGCUUUUUCAGAGGAAAUAACAGGUGUAAUUAUUUCCCAUCCAGCUUGUAAACUUUCUGUUUUUUAUUAACCAGUACUAUUUAAGUUCAGUUGUUAAAUCUGAAAAUACCAGGACAAAAGAUGGUUUAAAUUUGCAGAAUAAGAAAUGACUAUGUGAAUUAAAAAGAAAUAUCCAAGUCAUCCUGGCAUUAACCACUUUUAAUUUUUUUAUUAGCAACAUAUUAUUGGAUGGCAUUUGAAAAGAAUGAAGACAUUCUGCUUGCUUGUUUAAACUGCUUUACAGAUUGACAGAGUUUAACCACUUCUGCAGAAACAAUCAAAGUAAUAAAAGAUGAUGGCUGUUAUAGCUAUGUUUAAAAAUUGUUCAAGAGGCUGACAACAUGAGGCAUUCAAUAAAUGUGUUUAUUGAUUGAUGCAAUAAUACCAUAAAAUUAUUGUACUGUGUAACAAAGUAUUUCACUAAUAAUUUGCUAGGAAAUUAGCCUGAGGCCCAUCUCUCAGCACAGCACUAACUUUUCAAGCUUGUUGACAAGUAGUGUGGAAAUAGGCUAAGUUCUAACCUCCCAAUUUCAGAAGAGGGAAUUUUUUUUUUUUUUUAGAUUUUUUACAUUUUUUUCCUUUUUCUCCCCAAAGCCCCCCAGUACAUAGUUGUAUAUUCUUCGUUGUGGGUCCUUCUAGUUGUGGCAUGUGGGAUGCUGCCUCAGUUUGAUGAGCAGUGCCAUGUCCGCGCCCAGGGUUCGAACCAACGAAACACUGGGCCGCCUGCAGCGGAGCGCGCGAACUUAACCACUCGGCCACGGGGCCAGCCCCAGAAGAGGGAAUUUUUAUUAGGGAAUCCACACACCCAAAAAACUGCUUAAAAACUGUUUAAAUUCUAAUUUUUUUCUCAUUACAAAAAUACUAUGCUAAUUGUAGAAAAUAAUACAUGCAGAGAAGGAAAAGGAGAAAACAAUGAAACCAUAAUUCCACCAGGCACAGAUAAGCAUGGUUAACAUCUGAUGUUUUUGCUCCAGGCAUACGUGUAUUUUCACGGAAAAGGGGCUCAUACUGUAUAUACUGUUUUGUAAACUACGUCUUCAUUUAAUAACACAUUUGACUCUCUUUCCAAGUCAAGAGUCAUUUUUCUACAUCAACUUUAAUGACUAAGGUGUGUCAUAAAUACAUUACCCUCCUGUAAUUGGACAAUUAGGCUGUUUGUGAUUUUUACUGUAUAAACAACGUCAUUGUGAACAACCUUCUAGGUAUAUUCUUUACUGAUUUAUAGAAAAGAGAAUCUUUUCUACAAAUUCAAGGGCUUUUUCCUCGUGAUAAAUUUCUGGGCCGAAGAAACAGAGGUUUCUGGGGGAGAAGAGUUUGUUAAGAUUGACCUGUAACACAUGAACUUCCUCCUCUCUUUUCUUCUUCCCUGUUACUCUUCCUUCCCGUUUCUGUCUUCUGCAGAUUAUGGAAAGCCCGAAGCACACAGAGCCCACCUGGAGAAGUGGAGGGGUGCUCAGACGCUGCCCGCAGGUGCUGAGAGUGAAGUGGGCCCAAGCCCUGGCCUGGUAGGGUGCUCUCCAAGCAUCCUACCAGGAUCUUUUUAACUAGUGAAUUGUUCUCUCAUCGAUUUUUCCCAACUCAGGUUGAUAUUUCUGGAGCCUGUUGUCAUGGUCAGCAAUAUCCCUUGAGUGACCAGGAAGUGGGAGUUUCUGCUCUAGGUCCCUCAGGCAAAGACAGAGAUGAGCCCAGCUAACUUGUUAGGAGGAACAGCAGGGAAGGAAGGAACCAGAGAUAGUUAAUCACACAAGUACGUCCACAAUGGCUGGGCCGGUGUGCUAAGGGUUUGUGGUAGCGACUGGGGCCAGUGGAACUCUAGAGUUUGGAUUCGGUGUGACGAGGUCCACCUGAGGAGAGCAGGUCUAACAGUGGGCUAUGCGGCACCUCCCUGCCGCCUUGCAAAUGACUGCACCCUGUAAGGGCAGGCCAGGGUCACAGACAGGAACCCAAUGAAGCCAGUCAUUUAGUAGGAAGAUAAGCAAAUUAACACAGUCAAAAAGGAAAGAAAAAAAGGCAGGGUUCAACACCCCAGUCCCCUGGAGGCUGAGGGACUCUUGUGGUGUGCUAACAACUACACAGUCUCAGUUGAAGAGGGCAAUUUUACGGUCCACAUGUGAAUAAGGGACAUUUUUACUGAAAGAUGCACAAGGGUUCAUUUCCAGUUCUUAAGAAAGAGCCAGUUUUUUGGCCAAAUCAAGGCUCUGGUCAAAUGUUAACAACUCAGUUAUCCUGGGGAAAAAAUAAGCUGGCCCCCAACCCUCUCCUUUGCUAGCAUUUGGGGGCAAAUAAAGGAUUAGGUAAGAUGCUUUAUUUCCUCUCAUUCUCUAUGUGGGCAAGAGUUCAUGUAUCGGUUAGCAACCAUUUUUAACGGGAAAUCCAAUAAACCAGAAGGGAUUUAUUCACAGGAGGCUUCCUUUUGCUGGAAAAUCAGUAUUAUUAAUGAAAAAUGGAAUAGUUCUUCGGUCUCCAUGUUCCUCUUUUCCUCACCUCGUCUCUUCUCCCACCCACUACCAUGGAGGGAAAUGACUGCUGAAUAGGAUUUAAAAUCUGAGCACCAUCGGAUGCCCUUGUAUCCAAUAGAUGUUACUGUGAGUAGAUUACAGCACAGCUAAAUGCUACAUCCCCUUGCAAAACAAUUUUAAUUUUCUUAGACUGCAGAAUUUACCGCAUCUGCUCAUGAUGGAUUGGGAUAUAUGGUGAGGGAAGCAAUGGGGAGGAGCCAUUAAUCCAGUCAUUUUAUUAUGACAUAUAAUGUGGUUUUCCACUAAGUCUUUGUUUCCUAGAAUCAGUUCCCUCUAGGGAUUCUUUCCCAUUUAGCCCUUUUAGAAAAUCGAUGCAAACAGAUUUCCCAUCCAUUUCCAUAGGAAGUGUUUGUUUCUGUUGGUGGGAGGCCUCCGUGGGGUGGCAAUGGGUCCCUUUAUUAGCUCGACUGUUCCAGAACACAGAAGCCUGACAUCUUUAUAUUUCCUUUGCUCAAGAUGCUCCCCACCAUUGAUCCCUCUUUUCUCUGCUCAGGUCACUCUGUGGAGCUGGUGAGGUUCCCGGAUGAUGAUCAGUGGCUGUGGUGGAAAGUGGAGGUGAAGUUAACACCUUCACGGCUACAGAUUUUCCUUAGCAGAGCUGUGGAGUGUGACAAUGGUGUUUGUGUCCAAACUAUCAAACGCCAUUAUCACACUAAAUAGCUACUGUUAGGCAAUCCUUCCACUCAGUGAAGGCCUUGGCAUCUGUUAGGUUUGGGCAAGAAGGCUCAUCUUGUAGCAGUGCUCUCAAUCAUGUGUAAUUACUGAAUAAAUUCCGGUCCUUUUGUGCUCAUAACCAAUAUGUCAUCUGAACUUUGCCUCUCACAUGCCAUUGUUAAAUACUUUAGCCGAUGAUGAAUUGUCUUGUUUUCCUGAGUCAAUAGAAAGAUUGCCGUGUUCCCCAGAGCACCCAGCAGAAGGCUAGGCACAUAGGAAUUGUUCAACCCAUGCUUAUUGAGUUGAAAUGAAUAGUUAGGAAAAUGUUAGAUGCCAAAAACUAAAACUGGAUUAAAGCUAGGUUGUGAAAACCACAGGCUUAUGGAUGCAAAAUUAAGGUUUGUCGGUCCUUCACGUUGCAUCAUAAAAAACAACUUUCUGAUAACUUACACAUGUCUCUUAACUGACCUUUCAGAAAUUCUAGAACAUGUGUGAUUUCUACUGAUUUUAAUCAAUUGCCAGGCUGAUUACUGAAUUUGUGUGCUGGAUUCUUAUUCCUUAUGUUUCGAUGAAUCACCAUCAGGAAAUUAUACACGAACUAUGUGUGCGUUGCCAUGGCAAACCUGAACAUUUUAAACCCAUGCAGCUUCUGGGACAAUUGGACCAGCUGGGUGGUCUGGUUUGAAACACAUCCUUUCUCUGACAGGCAUGUAAAGUAAGGAGUAGAUUCUGUUUGUGCUGGGCUAAAGCUGUUCUCCUCUGACUUGGCGAAGUGAACUGGUACAUGUGUAAUCAAAUUGAAGGGUUGGAGCAACCAUCAGAAACAGGUUCAUUCAAUCAUCCAUUUGCCAAAUAAAUAUGUGUAUUCAGUGGCUGCCAUGUGUCUGGUACUGCCCUGGGCACUCGGGAUACUCGUAAAUUAAAUGUGUCUGACAUAAUUUCCAGACAUGGGCGUUCACUGGCUCGCAUUCUGUUUGGGACCAUUCUAAAUGUUCUAAAUUAUGUUUACCAGGGAACCAAAUGAGCAAAACUUUGCAAAAUAAUUCCAAGCCCCUUGCUGGAAAGCACCAGGUGAGUGUAGUCCACACAUCUAUGAUACACUGCAAAGGUUCCGAGGUCCUGAGAAGCUUCCAUCCAAAGAAGAGGAAGUCCAUUCCUUCCUGCCCUUCCUCUCCUUCCACCUCCCAUUCCUUCCCUCCUGGCAUCAUCCACUCUCAAGAGGAGAACCAGACCCCCUAAAAUAAUUAAUGCACUGACAUUCCUUUUUUUUUUGCUUUUCUGGAGAAAGCACUGAUUGAACAAGCAUUGGUAGAGGGCUCUACUGUUACACAAAUCUCUCCUGUGCACGUUAUUUCCUUUGAUCUGUGCAAGAAAGGGCAAAGAUGACAGAUUUGGGCGCUUUCCACAGACAGCAAACUGAGACCGAGAGUGGUUCUGGAAUCGGCUGGUCAUGCAACCACUACUCAACUUGGGUCUCCUAAAUCUAAAGUUCUCUCUUUUACUUAUAGCCUUCCUUGGCCUAGUGUUUCCACAAAACCUCAUGCUUCACAGCUGAGGCUAUGUAGAAGUUGGGUUUCUGAGGGAAAGUCUGCAGGAUAAGAGAGAGAUAAGCCAUAUGACCAUCUUUCCUUGUGAGUGUUCCACAAUGCAGAGAAAGACAAAUACUGUGAAACACCAUCAUCAUGAAGUGAAGGGAAGGGAAGGAACAGCAAAGUGGUAGUUUUGGGGUCAGGAAGGGGGUGGCCAAACUGUCCAGACAUGGACCAGCCAACUUAGCGCCCCAGCCAACUGACGUGGCCCUCACUGACCCAGAGCCUGCAGGCUCCCAACCCUUCUCAGGCUCACGGACAAUGUGAGCACAGCCUCAGGCACAAUUCCUCCUCUCUCCCACCACCCUGAGACUUUCCUCAGAUGGAAUGAAACAGGCAGCAAAAGGAAGGGCAUUCUACAUCUUUUCUACUAGGUUGGCUCCCGUAGCGGCUUAUUAUGAUUCCUGUCUGGGUUAGUUCUGCAUCCAGGCUUGGGGACCUGUUUUUUCCAUAGAUCUCUAAGGAGCACACGUGGAAGGCAAGGCUUCCACUCCCCCAUCUUAAAGCCAUAUCUGACCCUGUCCUGCUGCUCCAACUCUCUGAUCACAGCAUCCUUCCCCAGCCUAGCUUUCAUCCCCUCCCUGGCCCAUCCCACUGGGAUGAUCACUGCCAGUCUUCCCCAAUAGAGCACUAUUCCUGGGGAUGCUUACUGCCUCCAAACGUAGUUUGCCAGCUGGAGGGGCCACUUGGAAGUGCAGUUAAAAUCGCACUGGAGCGGGGGAGGCGGCAGAGCCCCCGGGCAGCCACACUGAGAUGUUUUCUUCCCCUGGAGACAGGCGUUACUUUGCUUCGUGAAUCAUGCCGGUGAGGUCCUGUGACUCCUUCGUCUUAGUACAAUGUGCAUGUCGAACGUGACAAUAGCCAGUAGGGCCUGUCCCAUGUUCCAGCCAACCCCAGAGGAGGUUUUGUGAAACAGCACAGCAGUAUCACAUGUAGAAGGCUCAUCUACACAGUUUUAUGAACUCUUCUUAAAUCUAUGUUUUCCACUUGGUAUACUUCCAUGAAUCCAAAGAUAAUGUUAGAACUGGAACCCAGUUUACUGUUUGUACUGAAGAGGAAAUUGAAGCCCGGAUAGGUUAAGGAACAUGCCCGAGGUCGUUCAGCUAGUCUCUGGGUGAGCUGGACCCUGAAGCCAGGUUUCCAGGCUUUGCCACUUCAUCCCAGUGGUGUCCCGUAGCUGUUGCCUUCCUAGAGCAGGCAGGAGAGGACUCAGGCAGUACCCCCUGAAUGAGUGCCUGGAUGCCAGUAAAGUCCUCUUCCCUUUGAUUUGUCUGAGCACUGUCUUCUCUGGAUUUCAAAGGGAUCCUCCCUAGUUUGGCGUUCUGGAAUUUGGUGCAUGGGUCCAGGUUCAUGCUCCCUCUUCACUGCGUUGUCUGCCAUUCACUGCACAGACGUGGGUUGUGUGAUUACUAUAUGCCUGGUACCAUGCUGGGCUCUGGGGACACAGAGAAGAAGGAGCCCACGUCCCUUCCCAGAGCUGCUCUCCGUCUAGGAGUUAGUCUCCUAAACAGAGACAUUCAGGCCUCAAGGAGCUAAACGCCAUAGACACCAUAGCUAGACAGAGCCGUAGACAGGGUGCCCAAAGACUUUAAUUAUGCCUUUCGUUUCUUUUCAGAUGAAGAAAGACUGAGUCUUUGAUGUUAUAACAUUUUUGUUACUAUUGGGAAAAUAAUCACUCUUUUUCUGUUAAUGAUUCAGUCACCUACAGGCUGUAGAUAAAGAGCACGGUGUUGUACUUGGGGGCAAAGCUGUAAUACGAAGAGCUGGCUGCUUUUCCCUGGCCGUGUGCCAGCGUGAUGUGCCGCACCGGGUCUGUUGAGGCCCUUGGGAAGGUAGAGGAGAUGGUUAGAACACUUUUCAGUUAUAUAUGUGAAGAAUUUUUAUUUCUCAGAGGAGCAGGGUAAGACACGAGCUGGUUGUCUUUCACAGUGCCCGCUGGGUUAGUGCUCACAAUGCCAGGUCAUUAGGCCGUUUCCUCCAUUGCUGCCUCUUCCUCUAUCCUCAAAAGCCUACUCCAAGGCCAGCAGUUGCAUACUGACUCCUCCUCAUUUCCCGCUCCCUGGGAUACGCUCAGGAAGCCACUGGGUAUAAACCUAUGGCAGGAAUCCCCAGGGCCUGUGGAGGAGUAGAGAGAUUGGGCAUCCCCUUCUUCUCUUUGACAUCUGAGUUCACUUCCAAGCUUUCCGAAGGAAAGGGAGGCGUCCCAAAACGCACACAAGUUCACAAAAAUGUAGAUGGCUACUGAGGAUUCCAAAGGGCCUGCUCAUAAGUAGCCAAAUUUAGAAAGCAGGGUCACCAUAUGUGUUCUGAAAAAUGAUUUAUGUGACACAAAUUUACUGUGUACUUGGAAUAUCUAAACACUGUGCAUAGGAUGCAAAGAUGAGUAAGAAAAUCACUCCUUCCCUCCUUCAUUCAUUCAACCAUGUGUUCCUACUAUUGUGUCAGACAUUGUGCUGAUCACUGAGAAUUCAAAAAUAAGAUGCUCUCUCUAGACUAUAGUGUUGACAAUCUAAUGAGGACAGAGACAGGCAAAUGAGUGACAGCGGUCCUGAGCUGCGGAUUUUUGCGGUAGGUGUGGGGUGCCUUGGGGGCCUCUAGAAGGAAACACCAUCUGUGGUCUGGGAGAAAGACAUGAGUAAGAACGAGAGACAAGCGUUCCAGUGCAGGAGCACUCCAGUGCUUCCGGCAGCCGCCCAAUCAAAGAGAAAGUCGUGACCUCGGCAAGCGAAGUGUAGAAGUUCUCACCUUGACAAAGGUUGAGUUACCUUCAAGUUUCCAAAGCAUUCUCCAGCAAUUCCCUCCAGACAGCAGUUGAGCUAUGAACCUGGAAUUUAUUUGGUGGGGAUUUUCCCUCUCAAAAAUGCAACCGAACAUCCACAGAAGAAAGAUCAGCUUUUAAUAAAAGAAGCACAUUGUGCUAUUUGGUAAGUGAUGGGGGCAGGUGUAUGUGUGUGACUAUGUGUGUUUGUAGUGCACCUGUGUGCAAAGAAUUUUAAUUUCCCGAAGGAGCUGGAUAAAAUGCCUUUAAAGUCUCAUUCAACUGGGACAUUUUUUUUUUUGAAACCAGGGAAAAGCCAGUGCUGUGAUCUUCAAGGUGGGCUGAAGGAGCAUCUUCCCACUCCCAGUCCUUGGAGCCUGGGGUCACUCUUUACGUGGGAUACUGCCGCCCCGUGGCAGGAUACGUCCCUGCGCAUCGUAGCAUCAGUGGUUCAUAAGGAUUUCCAGUUUGCUGCCUGAGUAUUCCAAACGGAUUGCAUUCAGAGCUUCCCCUGACAGCCGGAUCUGGCUUUAAUUUUGAUAAAGUAAGUUUCAAAGGCUUGAGGGGGAGAAAGAGAGGAGUGGAAGAGACUGUUCUAUUGAGUGUCUGUUGACCCAUUAAAUACACGAGACAAGAGCUAAUCUUGUUCUACCUAGAGAACGAGUCCCUUCCUUUUCACUUUUCUGGCACAUUUAGCCCAGUCAAGAGCUAAUUAAAGUCCUUCCCAUUUCUUAAGGCUGCCUGUCUUCUGUGCAGUGCAUCCUGUCGUGCUUAUCUGCUUGGCUUCCAACUGCAGCUGGAUACAAAGAGGUCAUAGAUUACCUCCCACUCUUUGGAUGUGUCAGCUACUGUAUCUACAGGCCUUCUCACUGAGCGCUAACAACUGUGCCCAAGAUGUUUCUCGCUAUCUCAGAUCAGAUCCUUUGCUCAGCAAUGAGAGUGAGUGCUAUGCUGGGUUGGGUAAAACAUGGAGAGGCCACUAUAAAUGUCCCAAAGGAAGUGGCUACAAAUCACCACCCCAAUAUGUAGGUGGCGUGUUAGGAAAUUUUGACUGCAAGAAGCAAUUUUUUCUUAAAUUAUCUCAAGUCAUUCAUUCUUACAACAAUAUUUCUUAAGCACCUACUACGUACAAGUCACUGAGCUGGGGAAAGUUUUUUUGAAGGGGCCACAUGGCAGUAAGGGGUCAGGAGUCACAUGGGAGCUCCCAAACAGUCCUAAGGGGGGGCCUCGUGGAAAGUGGCAGUCAGGAUUCAUGAGUGAUCCCGAGAUGGGGGUAUCCGGCCACCCCCAAGGCUGUAGAAAAAAAUCAAGCCUCUGCCAUUAUGGUGAUUCAUUUGAUCCAUUUUUCUGCUCUUCCUGCUGCCAUACCUGCCUCCAUCCUUACCUACAGUUUCUGCUCACCCAUAACUACUGCUCACUCACAUCUUCUGCCCAUUCUGGGGUCUCAUGGCCCCUGCUACUUAAUGGCCUCUGCUUGCCUGCCUCCUUUGGGUGUCUUUUCAGUUUCUUCAUGUGCUACCAAGUGACUUCCUCCUUCCCUGUGUCUCCAGUUGGAUCCCUAAGCUGGAAAACUGAUGGUUUCAGCUAAGAUGUGUGUUCCCGCUGGGGCAAAGAUUUCACACAAGGCCAUGACAUAGGCUGCUGGUCAACCUUUGGGGCAGGAGAAAACGCAGGGGUAUGUCUGAGAAAGUCUGAUGCAAGAACUAAUGGGUAAAUUUUAUUCUGAGUUGGAGUUAUCCAUUCUCCAGAUGAAAAGGUAGGGGAAGAAUUCUCAAGAAAAGGGUUGGCAUGUGUAAAGUCUUCAAGUGGGAUGGAGUUUGGAACAGCCCGAGAGCUUGAAGCUGACUGGUGUGUCAGGAACGUGACAAGCAAGCAGGAGAUGAGGCUAGAGAGGUGGGCAGGGCUGGCACUAGGAUAGAGGGGGAACACAUGAGGACGGCAGGCAGAUGGCCAGUGCUGCUUAGGGAUCACACACUCUACUGACGGGUCACCAAGACCAGGAGUGGACAAUCUACAGCCCGUGGGCCAAACCUAGCCCACCGCCUGUUUUUGUACAAACCAAGCACCAUUUUUAUAUGUUUAAAUUUUUGAAAAAAAUCAAUAGAAGAAUACUAUUUCAUGAUGUCAAAUUUAUAUGCAAUUCAAAUUUCACUGUCCAUAAAUAAAAAGUUUUAUUGGAAUUUACCAACCGUCCCAAUUUGCCCAGACUACCUCAGUUUAGCACUGAAAGUCUUAGAGCCUGGAAAAGCCCUCAGUCCCAGGCAAAUGGGGAUGUUGGUCACCUGGCACACAGCCAGGCUCAUCUAUUUCCAUAUUGUCUACAGCUGUGUUCACGCUCCGACGGCAGAGUUGAGUAGUUAUGACAGAGGCCAUAGGGCCUGCAAAGCCUGAAAUAUUUACUAUCUGGCCAUUUAUAGAAAAGUUUGCUGAUUCUUGAUUAAGACCAAAGAAGAGUAAAUAAUUUAUCUGAUAAGUUAUCUAAUAUAACUGAUUGUUGUUGUCACAAGAGUGUUGACCCUGCCUAUUUAUUUUCUCCAUUGGAACCUGAUUCAUUUUUAAAACCUAAAUUAGAUCAUGUCACUCUGCUGCUCAAGAGCCUUCAAUGGCUCCCCAUCCCACUGGGAAUAAAACCUAAGGAUCACUUACAUCCUUCUCAAACAGACUUCAUCUCCUGCUCUUCCAUGCCAUGCCCACUCCCUUGCUGAUUCUCAAACAAGCCAAGUGCCCUCCUGCCUCCGGACCUUUGCACUUGCUGUUCCCUCCCUCUAGACCCUUUCUCCCAGAUAUAUGCAUACCUCGCUCCUUCACAUCAUUCUGUUCCUAUUCAAAGUCGUCUUUUCAGUGAAGCCUUCCCCCUCAUUUAGCAUUCUCCAUCUCCAGACAUCACUUAUCCAUUUGUUGAUUUUCUGUGUCCACACUAGAAGGCCAGACACUUGAGGACAGGGACGUUGCUGUAUCCCCAGCUCACAGAACAGUGCCAAUCACAUGGUGGGUUUGUGACAAUUAUUUAUUGGAUAAAUAAAAGGUUGGUAAAGUCCAAGAAUUUUAUGCACGUGUCCAGGGCCAUGUCCCAACUCAUUGGACCAUAUUACUGCUAAUCAAUAUUUCAUUUUAGCCAACAUCCAUCCUGUUACAAUUAUGUGGCUGCCUGUGUCUGUCGCCCACUGGCUUCUUUUCCUGCCAAACACUUUGUGUUUAAUCAUCUGAACAUCUGCUCCGUAGAAAUCUCAUGCCAGAUGCCGACCUGCGACACUGCUGCUUCUCCUGUCCUGAGAAUGGACGCAUUAAUCCCGAGUCCAGGGGUGGGAUCAGGGUGAUUCUUCAAUCCCCCGACACUGACAAUGACAUGUGAUGCACAUAUGCAGUUUUCUAGGGAGUGGGUGCAGAGCUGUCGUCUGAUCCUCACGAGGGCCCUCGAUCCCCAGAAGGCUGAGGAGCUGAUUGUACCAGCAACAAGCUCUCCAGUCUGAUGAGUUACAGGCCCUCCUGUGGGGUGUCUUCUGCUCUCCAAUGUAUGAUGAUUGAUGCUUGUGUUCUUGGUACUCAGCUGGUGUCAGUGGCAUCCUCCCUCUGCCUUUCUGGAAUGUUCCUCCCUUCUGCUACAUCUGAAAACUUGUUAACAAACCAGCGGGCUCCUGUGUGGCCAUCCAGCCCCCCAGUGUCUGUUCCACACAGCCAUUUUCUUCAAGAGCCGCUGGCCCCAGGUUCCAGCAGGAUGGCUGAAAAUGCUCUUCUUUGUGACCGUGAGGCCUGACCUAUGUCAUCUGUCAAGUGUCUGUGCUGUGGGAUUCGUUUCCUGCCAAGGGUUCCCUGCUCAUUUCCCAGAGGAACUGAGCCGAGGCCGCCCGGCUGCGGGAGCAGAGCCUCAGGGUUCCCGAGGGGCCCUUUGACGCCGAGGGGACAGAGGUCAUGUCCUUUCUAAGUGUAGCUUGCGGGGAGGACCCUCGGUCUCUAUUUUCUCAGUUUUGAGAGGAUUUUCAUUUCCAGGAGGAGAAUCAUUCCAAGAAACUCUUCUGCACAGACAGCUGCUAUCCCCCCCCCGUCUGAGGCCAGGAGGGGGCGCCAGCUCUGCUCAGCGCCUGCCUGGUGCACUCAGGCCUGUCCUGAGAUUGACCAUCUAUCAUUGUUUAUUAAUAUUAUCACCAUCAUCUUAAGAAUUCCCAGCCUUUUUGGCCCUGGGGAAAGCUGAGGUCCAGCCCACGUGGACGGUUGUGGGUUACAGACUCAUGAACACGAGCUAACCGGGCACUGCCGGGCAGAGGGCAGAGUGUCCCCUACCUUCUCAGUGAGGCCGUAGAAGGGCAGGUGCCCUCAGGGUCUCUCGACUCAGCACUACUGACAUUUUGGGCCGCAGAAUUCUUGGUUCUUGGUGACCGUCCUGAGCAGUGUGGGAUGUUCGGCAGCAUCCCUGGCCUCUACCCGCUAGAUGCCAGUAGCAUCCUCCCUGUUGUGACAACCAAAAAUGGCUGCAGACGUUGACAAAUAUCCUCUGGGGGGCAAAGUGGCCCCCAGUUGAGACCCACCACUCUAUGCAGCUGCUUCUUGACUGGGACUUCAGAACGAGAGGUAGAAAUGACAGGAGGCUCAGGGGGGUUGGCGAGACAAAUCUCGCUAAGUCAAAUAACGCCAACUGUUCCAGAAAGCAAAGUGCGUUCGGGGGGUGAAGGAGAGAGAGACAAGGGCAGAGUUUGGCGUAAAGCUGGAGAACACGCGGAGGACUUGACCGAAGCUGGUGGAGGGAGGGGUGGUCUCCAGAGAGCAGGCGUGAGCUUGGGAGGGACGUCUUCAGGUCACGAGGCCACGCGGGGCCCCUGCCUGCACUGGCUUCAGCUGUGACCAACCCCAGGUCAUCCCCAUCUUGAGCAGAGGCCCAACCUGCGUGAAGCCACCCGCCUUCCUUCGUGCAGGAAAGUACUUGCUGAGUACCCCCCAUGUGCUAGGUCCUGAGCACAGAGAGAGAAAACACAGUUCUGUCUUUAGGAGGAUAGAGAUUUAACGAGGUAACCGCACCCAAGCAGGACGAGACAGAACUACCAGAGGCUCUGAAGGGAUAGACUUGGGGGCUCAAAGAAGACUUCCUGGAGGAGGUGACAUCUAAGUGGAAACUUGGAAGACAAGUGGAAGUUUUGCAGACAAAAGAGGAGCGUAGAGUCCUGACAUAAGCUUCUAGGGUGGUACUGCCUAAAAGUCCUUUAAAAGGGAACAAGCGUCUGCUCUGCUUUUAAUAGAGGGUCAAGAGUAGCGCAAACCAAAGAGCUCUCAGGGCCCAAGGGGUGGCAGAGCAGCAAGAGGGCACAAAAGGAAGAGGGCAGAGACAAAAGAAAACACACCUGGUUACAGCUGUCCUGACCUGCAGCAUCAGCAGCGUCCACAUGGCCUGGGAGCUUGCUAGAAAUGCAAGUUCUCUGGCCCAGCCCAGACUCAUGAAAGAAACUCCAGGUGGGGCCGGCAACCUGUGUUUGAACAGGGCCCUCCAGGUGAUGCUGACGAACCUCUGGGCUACAGGCCCGUCCUCUGUGCUGCUCAUUAGUGUUUAAUGAGUGAGCAACGGAGGGAAUCAGUCAACCAAUUACUCCUGCCUUGGAAAAGACAGCAGCAGAGUCUUCCCCACCUAGGCUGCACAUUAGGGUCACCCUGAGAGCUUUAAAAAUCCCGCUGCCCAGGCCAUGCCCCAGGC
rnacentral:lncRNA from 1 species